UCUAUCUGUGCUUAUACUAGUUUUGUCAACAACAAACACAUAUCACCCUUGGAACAAGGGGCUACACAGUGGUCUCUGACAGCGAGAGUAGCUUUGUGUCUGAUGACAUCCUCGAGGGAGAUUCGCUUCCCUUGGAAAAUCUGGAGAGCGAAUUCCAACAGAUCCAACCAUAUAUGUUUGAGCCAUUGGCUUCUAGCGACAAAGAAGAUUUCAGUUCGGAAAACUAAGUUCAACCAUCCCUGCCCCGUGAAGUGUUUGAACGCUAUGUAACGUUAUGUAGCCUAGCUAACUUCGUUAUAUAUGUAUCUCUAGCUGGCACGACACUGAAAGUUCUGUCAAAGCCUGUAUAUAAACGUUAGCUGUAAACAUAAACCGGAGCCUUAAUGAUUUGUUUAUUCACUGGUUCUGAGUUUAUAGAACUUAUGGUGAUAGUUGCUAGAUAAUGGCAACAUAGCCAUCAGUCUAAAUCUGGCGAUUAUGACAGUGGUUAGAUACGUGCUUCUUAGCUAGCUAGCUAGCUAUUUGCUUAUUUUAUCCAUGCCAGUGUAUUUCGAAGCCACUGUUUAGAAUGAAUGGAGAUUACUUCAUUAGCGGCAGUGAUCUGCUACUUGCUAAUACAAAUGUUUUACCCAUAGGUGUUCUUGUGGUGGCCACUGCUAAAACAUGCCAACAGCUGAAGAAAACAUCUGCUGUAGAAAUGUGCCUCAGGUCAUGGAGAAAUUAGAGGACCCCGAGUUACAAGACCCUGUCCAAUGCAUGACCCUGGAUUUAUGGAAGUCUGUUUGGCGUGAUGGGUGCUACAGCAUGCCUAGUACAUGGACAGACAUUGGAGCAGCAGACUAAAAUAAAUGAACGUUACAGACAUACUGCAUAUCACAGUUUUGUUGGCUGGUGUUGGCAGUAUUUGGGAAUGCGGAUUAGUGUCGUCAUGCCAUCCUGCAUGGUCCUCAGGAUCUGUGCAGUGUUCCCUGAUGUGACAGGAAACUACACUGGCUUCAUUGCCCCUCACUGCCACUGAACCUGGACCUGUGUCUUACCACCACAACACUUUUCUCUGGCCUGGCGUAGCUGGAGCAGAGAUUGUCCGGCACCUCCACCUGUGCCAGCAGAGCCUGGAAGUGUCUGGGGUUUUGGACCACCUCCUCAAACAGGAGUCUCUGCAAUGUGUCAAUGUAGCCUUUUGAAAGAAAGAAUACAUGUGAUUAAUGCACACAGUUUGUAUAGCUUUUAGAAAAAAUAUAUUUUACAUUGUAACUUAUACAUACAAGCCAAUAAAAUGUU